rnacentral:rRNA from 1 species
UACGGGGGGGGGUUAGCGUUAUCCGGAAUGAUUGGGCGUAAAGCGUCUGUAGGUUGUUAAUUAAGUCUGAAGUGAAAGAAUGGGGCUCAACCCCAUAUACGCUUUGGAAACUGGUUAACUAGAGAAUGUUAGAGGUAAGUGGAAUUCCUAGUGUAGCGGUGAAAUGCGUAGAUAUUAGGAAGAACACCAGAGGCGAAGGC